CCAGGUAACACCCAGAGCUCUGCAAUCACAGACUCCAAGGCAAGAGGAACACAAUGGCUGCCUGUCAUUAGGAGCCUCAAGGCCCCGUUAAGUUAGUGUCAGCACAAAGACAUUUAAGAGCUGGGAACAAGCUGUGGGUGGGAAGAUAGUACUGGCAUAAAGAUGGCAGGGCUAGUAUAAUCAGGUUUAUGCCAGUCACCAUUGAUGCGGCCUCUUCCCCUUGAUGAGAAGGCUUCAGAAACAAAAAUGGAAAGAACGUGGAGACACGCAUGAGUGCUGCAUGCUGUCAAGCAUGUUUCUUCAGCAUUCUGCACAUCAAGACAACCACAGAUGACCUCCACGUGGCCAAUGCAAAUGGCAAACCAACCUGUGCCAGGAGUGUCCAGCAUGGCUUACCUUCAGAGCGACUGCUGCCUCGCUUCCUUGGGCUUGUCAUCAGCAUAUGCAUCAUCUGUAAAUUAAAGCAGUUUGU